UUUCAUCAGCCUCACUUCUAUGGACUCUCAGAGCUGAUUACCAACUCCUACCACUGUUAACCCUCAUCCAGGAACAAGCUUAUGUCUUUAACAUUCUGAGUGGGCUUCAGCAUCCUUGCAUAUGUUCAAUUCUUAAAAACCUGUUGAAAUAAAAGAUCAGGAGACAUAGGAGGGAUGCCAGAAGACAGCGUGGCCUCACGUGUACCAGCUCUCUGCUCUCCUUUGCCUUGGGACGUUCCAUCCCUGGAAGUUUCCCUGCCCACAUCUUUGUAGAGAGUCCAUUCUCCAAGCUUCAGUGUGUCAUCUGUUAGGACUAUGACCCACCUGGUACAUUACCUCAGGGCAUUCAUUUCAGGCUCCUUCUAAGUGGUCAAGUUUUCAAGAUUGUUUUGGCUCUAGCAAAACAAGUUGGAACAUUCACAUCAUCCAGUAAACCUCAGGUUCUCCUCCUGCCUUUUGCUAAGUAUAUGUCUUGAUGACAAGCCUUCUGCUAAUGAGCUGUGUUUCUGGACCGAUCAUGGUAGAAGUCAAUUGAAGUGUCCCUCACUUGGGGUUUCUUAAGGUCAUCUAUGAACUGACUCUGUCUCAAAAAAAAGGAAGAAUGAAAAAAAAAAAAAACUAGGACACCGCUAACAGGAAUGGGGACAAAGAAUCUGCACUGAUGAGGAAACUGAAACAGAAAAUCCAGAGUAAAUUCCACCAGGCCACACAGCAAGGUCUGAUAGAGCCAGGAGAGACUUUAUGAAAUCCAGACUCUCACACUAAUGCUCUAUCAGCUAGACCUCCAUGUGAGUCUCCCCAAUGUAGGUAGGAAGCACUUUCCC
rnacentral:lncRNA from 1 species